rnacentral:rRNA from 1 species
UCCUACGGGGGGCAGCAGUGGGGAAUAUUGCACAAUGGGGGAAACCCUGAUGCAGCGACGCCGCGUGAGUGAAGAAGUAUUUCGGUAUGUAAAGCUCUAUCAGCAGGGAAGAAAAUGACGGUACCUGACUAAGAAGCCCCGGCUAACUACGUGCCAGCAGCCGCGGUAAUACGUAGGGGGCAAGCGUUAUCCGGAUUUACUGGGUGUAAAGGGAGCGUAGGUGGUGCGGCAAGUCAGAUGUGAAAGCCCGGGGCUCAACUCCGGGACUGCAUUUGAAACUGUCGUGCUUGAGUGCAGGAGAGGUAAGUGGAAUUCCUAGUGUAGCGGUGAAAUGCGUAGAUAUUAGGAGGAACACCAGUGGCGAAGGCGGCUUACUGGACUGUAACUGACACUGAGGCUCGAAAGCGUGGGGAGCAAACAGGAUUAGAAACCCGAGUAGUCCG